rnacentral:rRNA from 1 species
GAUAAGACAUGCAAGUCGAACGAGAGAAUUGCUAGCUUGCUAAUAAUUCUCUAGUGGCGCACGGGUGAGUAACACGUGAGUAACCUGCCCCCGAGAGCGGGAUAGCCCUGGGAAACUGGGAUUAAUACCGCAUAGUAUCGAAAGAUUAAAGCAGCAAUGCGCUUGGGGAUGGGCUCGCGGCCUAUUAGUUAGUUGGUGAGGUAACGGCUCACCAAGGCGAUGACGGGUAGCCGGUCUGAGAGGAUGUCCGGCCACACUGGAACUGAGACACGGUCCAGACACCUACGGGUGGCAGCAGUCGAGAAUCAUUCACAAUGGGGGAAACCCUGAUGGUGCGACGCCGCGUGGGGGAAUGAAGGUCUUCGGAUUGUAAACCCCUGUCAUGUGGGAGCAAAUUAAAAAGAUAGUACCACAAGAGGAAGAGACGGCUAACUCUGUGCCAGCAGCCGCGGUAAUACAGAGGUCUCAAGCGUUGUUCGGAAUCACUGGGCGUAAAGCGUGCGUAGGCUGCUUCGUAAGUCGUGUGUGAAAGGCGCGGGCUCAACCCGCGGACGGCACAUGAUACUGCGAGACUAGAGUAAUGGAGGGGGAACCGGAAUUCUCGGUGUAGCAGUGAAAUGCGUAGAUAUCGAGAGGAACACUCGUGGCGAAGGCGGGUUCCUGGACAUUAACUGACGCUGAGGCACGAAGGCCAGGGGAGCGAAAGGGAUUAGAUACCCCUGUAGUCCUGGCAGUAAACGGUGCACGCUUGGUGUGCGGGGAAUCGACCCCCUGCGUGCCGGAGCUAACGCGUUAAGCGUGCCGCCUGGGGAGUACGGUCGCAAGAUUAAAACUCAAAGAAGUUGACGGGGACCCGCACAAGCGGUGGAGUAUGUGGCUUAAUUCGAUGCAACGCGAAGAACCUUACCUGGGCUUGACAUGUAAUGAACAACAUGUGAAAGCAUGCGACUCUUCGGAGGCGUUACACAGGUGCUGCAUGGCCGUCGUCAGCUCGUGUCGUGAGAUGUUUGGUUAAGUCCAGCAACGAGCGCAACCCCUGUUGCCAGUUACCAGCACGUGAAGGUGGGGACUCUGGCGAGACUGCCCAGAUCAACUGGGAGGAAGGUGGGGACGACGUCAGGUCAGUAUGGCCCUUAUGCCCAGGGCUGCACACGUACUACAAUGCCCAGUACAGAGGGGGCCGAAGCCGCGAGGCGGAGGAAAUCCUAAAAACUGGGCCCAGUUCGGACUGUAGGCUGCAACCCGCCUACACGAAGCCGGAAUCGCUAGUAAUGGCGCAUCAGCUACGGCGCCGUGAAUACGUUCCCGGGUCUUGUACACACCGCCCGUCACAUCAUGGAAGCCGGUCGCACCCGAAGUAUCUGAAGCCAACCGCAAGGAGGCAGGGUCCUAAGGUGAGACUGGUAACUGGGAUGAAG